GGAAGGAUCAUUAACAAAUCAUUGAGUGUGUGUGCUGUGUGUUGCUGUUGUAUGUGUGCACUACCAAAAGUAGUGCACACUACAACAACGGUACACGGCAAAACAACACCUCACAUUUGUGCUCCAGGCGUCUGUCUGGGUGCAUAUAUAUCAUAUAUUCAUGAUUUUAUUGUCAGUUAUUUUGUCAUUUUAAAUUAUCAAUCAUACUUUUAACAAUGGAUCUCUUGGCUCUUGCAUCGAUGAAGAACGCAGUAAUGUGCGAAAAGUAAUGCGAAUUGCAUACCUCUGCGAGUCAUCUAGUCUUUGAACGCAAAUGGCACUAUCACGACAAGUGGUAGUAUGUCUGUUUGAGAACCACAAAAAACCUCACCACUAUAUAUAUAUUGUGUGUAUAUAUUUGGAGGAUUUGUCCUUUUACAUAUAUGUGUAAUUGGAUUGAAUGCAUGAUGCUGCGUGGAUCACACGCGGAAUAUGUGAUAGUAGAUACAUUUUCAUAUUCCGAGUGAUUUAUAUAUUAUAACGUGCACAGUGUGUGUAAUUUUAUCUUGUGUAUGACGUGUGUGUAUUAAUGAAAGUUUUCAUUAAUUCCUCAUACACAUUAUAAGUAUGUUGGUCUCAAAUUAGACAAGGUUACCCGCUGAACUUAAGCAUAUCAGUAAGCGGAGGAAAAGAAACUAACAAGGAUUCCCGUAGUAACGGCGAGUGAAGUGGGAAUAGCUCAAAUUUAAAAUCUGGCCUUUGGCCCGAAUUGUAGUCUAAAGAGGUGCCAUCUUGAUUAUUGUGUGCGCACAAGUGUCCUGGAAUGGACCAUCACAGAGGGUGAGAAUCCCGUUUGGGUGCACAUUUAAUGAUCAUAUAUGAGGCACUCUCUAAGAGUCGAGUUGUUUGGGAAUGCAGCUCAAAUAGGGUGGUAUACUUCAUCCAAGGCUAAAUAUUGGCAAGAGACCGAUAGCGAACAAGUACCGUGAGGGAAAGAUGAAAAGCACCUUGAAAAGGGAGUUAAACAGCGCGUGAAAUUGUUAAAAGGGAAACGAUUGAAGCCAGCAUUGUGCGCAAGGUUUUCUUGGUUUGAGAUGUUAGUAGAGAGCGUGUGAAAGCACGCCUCGUACUAGUUUGUCAUUCCUUGAUGACCUGCGUGCGAGUCAGGGCCGCUUCGACAUAUUUUGCCUUGGAAUACUUUGGAAAUGUAGUCGUCAUUCGUGAUGACCUUAUAGUCCAAUGGGAUGAGGUGAAUUGGAGCUGGUAGUAGAAUAGGUUAUCGUUCUUUACCUGUGAUAUAAAGACUGCAUGCAGACUUUGUAUACAUUUGGUAAAGAUAAUGAUGACCACCAUACUUCUACGAACCUGACGGAAUGGCUUUAAACGACCCGUCUUGAAACACGGACCAAGGAGUCUAACAUGUAUGCGAGUGUUUGAGUGGUAAACUCGAGCGCGCAAUGAAAGUGUUAGUCGUGGGACCUACUACUUUUUGUGUGGGGCACCAUGAACCGAUCUUGAUAUCUCUUGAUAGAUUCGAGUUAGAGCAUAAAUGUUGGGACCCGAAAGAUGGUGAACUAUGCCUGGAUAGGAUGAAGCCAGAGGAAACUCUGGUGGAGGUCCGCCGCCGUUCUGACGUGCAAAUCGAUGGUCAAAUUUGGGCAUAGGGGCGAAAGACUAAUCGAACCAUCUAGUAGCUGGUUCCCUC
rnacentral:misc_RNA from 1 species